AUGAAUCUUGAUGAUUUUUUUGAUCAGCUUGAUCUAAACGACGAAGAGUUUCAUGAUGUGGAGAUCGAUAUGGAUGAUCCCGUGAUAAACGACGGCGUUCGUUGGCUGGCCCUUCCUAGGGUUCAUACAGAGAAGCCCUUCAGCCAAUCUGCUUUCUACAAAGACAUGCGAGCAGCAUGGAAUCCAGCAAAGGAUAUCAGAUUUCGACCAGUAGGACCGAACAUGUUUGUCGUCCAGGCAUCGUGUUUGGGGGACUGGGAA
rnacentral:rRNA from 1 species